rnacentral:lncRNA from 1 species
CGAGUGACGGCGGGGGAGGGGCGGGGCUUGUCCGCAGCAGUAAAGGUCCAGAGCACAGAUGUGGAGGUCACUUUUACUUUUAAUUUGAAUUUUGAUAUACCUGCCUGAUUAUGCAGGAGCGUGUUUUCAUUCCUGAUUCAGACAGAUCCGCCUGCGAGCUGCAUCCGUUCCUGCGCGUUUGACGCGAAAAAGAAAGCAAAAAAAAAAAAAAAAAAACGGGUUGCAGAUGAACGUUAGGAGGAGAAAGUGAGAUGAUGGCGGCGGAUGCGGAGGAGACGGGAGGGCGGACGGACCCGUGUGCUCCUCCCGGCAUCAGUCUGAGGCGGAGGGGCUCGGACAGGAGGUGGAGGCUGCGCUCUGUGUAUCUGCAGUGCUAUUUUCUGACAAUUGCAACCAUCCUGGGAACAGGAAUUUUGGGUCUUCCUGUAACGAUAGCCCAUGCUGGCAUGAUGCCCUUCCUCAUCUCCUUCCUUGUUGGUUUCUGUGUUCAGGCCUUACUCAUCUACCUGUUUGUGGAGCUUCUACAGAAAUGUCAGGCAAUGCAGCUGGAGUCUCUAAAGACCGGAGUGGCAGAGUGCAUCAUGAUGAGUCCAGUGAACAUCCAGAGCCCAACCUUCACAGACGAUGAGGAAGAGGAGGAAGAUGAAGCAGACAACGCAGCAGCAGAUACAGGUCUGCUGCAGCCGCACACUCUCACACUGCAGGAGCAGGCGGAAAACCUUCAGCCCAACCUAUAUCUCCUGGGGUGCCUCUUCCUGUCUCCGCCCAUGAGCUGCGCCUUCAGCUGCAUUCUCCUCUUCCAGUUCGUUUCAAUUGGAGUUAGUUAUGUGUUAGCCGGCAGUGAGGCGUGUGCAGCACUUCUAAAUGUCAGCCACGUGUACGUGAUCCCAGCCUUCACCUGGAUUCUCACACUUGCUAUCUUGCUGGCACACUCGAUUAUUCAGCCGGUCACCUCCGUGCUCACCUUCCUCAAGGGAAUUCUGCUCAUCAUCACGGUAAUCGCUCUUUUUUAAUAGAAUAUAAUGUUGAGUUUCUUUAUUUUUGUUUUUACUUUAGGAAAAUGACUCAUUUUGUUUUUGUACAAAGAGGUCUAGCAUAGCAGAGAAGAGCUUUGGAUUUGUUCAGGACAUGGGAGAAUUUAGACAGUGCCAUACUUGUGACAGAGGAGUUCAAGAUGAAGGUGUAUGGAGAGAAAUUAGACUCAGUCGGAUUUGUGUGUGCGUAAUUCUUGAUUUGUGCGUAAAUUAAGAUUUGUGUAUGCAUAUUCUUGCUUUGUGCGUGCGUAAAUUAGAAUUUGUGCAUAAAUUUGGAUUUGUGCGUGAUUUGUUACUCAC